rnacentral:rRNA from 1 species
GACGAACGCUGGCGGCGUGCUUAACACAUGCAAGUCGAACGGAAAGGCCCUGCUUUUGUUGCGUGCUCGCGUGGCGAACGGGUGAGUAACACGUGAGUAACCUGCCCUUGACUUUGGACUAACUUCAGAAAACUGGGGCUAAUACCGGAUAGGAGCUCCUGCUGCAUGGUGGUGGUUGGAAAGUUUCGGCGGUUGCGGAUGGACUCCAGGCUUAUCAGCUUGUUGGUGGGGUAAUGGCUUACCAAGGCUUUGACGGGUAGCCGGCCUGAGAGGGUGACCGGCCACAUUGGGACUGAGAUACGGCCCAGACUCCUACGGGAGGCAGCAGUGGGGAAUAUUGCACAAUGGGCGGAAGCCUGAUGCAGCAACGCCGCGUGCGGGAUGACGGCCUUCGGGUUGUAAACCGCUUUCGCCUGUGACGAAGCGUGAGUGACGGUAAUGGGUAAAGAAGCACCGGCUAACUACGUG